rnacentral:lncRNA from 1 species
UCCAUAUUAAUCAGAUAUAAGUGCUUUGUGGCCAAAGCAAAGAGAAGUGUCGAAUUAAUUUGUCUUUUGUUUAGCUGGUUAAGUGCCUUUCAUGUGUAAUUCAACUCACGUCAGGAAUGUUUUAAGGGAUAUUGAAAACAAGACAUGACGUUACCCUCCAAAAGUUUACAUUCCAGUAGCGCUAUUAUCAUAUGACUGACAAGGAUUCAAAAAUUGCUAAAUGUUGUAAGAAAAGGACAGAACAAGAGCUGAGGGAAUUCAGAGAACAGAGAGAUUAUUUCUAAUUCGAGUGACAGCAUGUGGAGUCAGAGAAGGCUUCUUGAAGGAAAUUGCAUCUGAGCUGAAUGAACAGGAUCUGAGAUUGUGGUGAGGCUCUGGAUACGCUUUAUCCCACCUCAGUUUCUCUGGUGAGGCCCUUUGCCAUGUAAACUGGUUGUGGUCAAAUGGAAAUAUUUGAAGGGUUGCCACGUGGAAGAGGGAUUUAGGCCUAUUCUGCAUGGUCCCAGAGGAUAGAACUCAGAUGAAGAAGAUGGUAACUGCUGCGGAGAGAUGGAUUUGGACGCUACAUAAAGAUCAACUAUAAGGUCUUUGCGUUUCACGGAUGAGGAAGCAGCAGGAUCUAGGAGAAAGCAAUGAACUGGGAAUCAGGAAACCUGUGCCACCACUGACGUGCUGUGUGCUCUCCGAGCACUUAACUUUUCUGAGUCUCAGUUUCCUCACAAGGAUGACCAUGGGAGCCCAGGCUUGAUUGGAGGAUCCGAUGAGAUCAUGGAUGUGAAGCACUUUGUAACAUUAGACAAAUAGGAGGUGCUAAUAUGAUGAUGCCUGCUUUAAGUGCUUUUUCUGAAGCGAAUCAAGGUCAUUAUUCUCUGUUUCGAGAUGCUGAAAUCAAGGCAGAGAGAUGUGAAGGGACAUGGAUCCCGCUUCAUAGUGCCUGGACCAAGAGGUCUCCCUACAUUGGGAGGACUUCAGUGGCUGCCCAUGGCCUGGUACUUCCUCUCCUUCUGAGAAUGGCACCAUUACAUAACUGUCUGGGGCGGUGCCCCAGACCACAGAGAUUUUCCUUCUGCCCAGCUGCAUGAGGUACACCUAUUUUGGGAUGGAAUCAGGAAGAUGGCCACUUUCACACCAACUGGGGUGCCCUAGCACCUACCUCUCUUCUUCCCACACUCCCACUGCCCACCCUCCACUCCCCACCCCCUGCUGUUGGUAUGGGCUCUGCUCUAGGGCAAAGGGCUCAUCCUCUUAUGCUCCCUCAGAUCAGGGAAGUAUCUCUGGCCUCUCUCUGGUUCUCUGUCCCUAAAGAAUCUCCCAGCUGUCAUCUACCCUUUAUAACUGUCUCCAGAGCAUUCUCUCUUCUGCUUCUCCAACACUGUGGCCUCUUCUGUGAAGUUCUCUAACCAUGGGUUUCCCCAACACCUCCCUGCCCCUUGCAAGCUCCCCCUCAUCAUCAUCUUCAUCUCAGAGAAAGAAAUGAAAAAGAAAUUCAAGUGACUCAUCGGUGCACGUAGCAGGAGGGGAGAAGCAGAGAGAGUGAGUUUGUGGGUCCAGAUGAGUAUGUCUGCAGGCCUCUUCACUGCUUCACACGAUCUGCUGAGCUUCAUGAAAGAGAAGAUAUAAAAAUCUGAGCGGUGCCAUAUUGUCUCCAAAAGCAGCCGGCGUGAAAAUGAAGUGCGACUGCCACCUCCUCAUAACGCAAGGCAGCUCCUGCCUCACAUGCUCAAAUGUGGCUCAGAGGCUGGCUGGGCAGCCUCAGGAAAGAUGCCUAUCGAUCAGCCACUGAACCUCAGCCACCCACCUGGCCUGGGGCUCCCCCAGGCCUCAAGGCUGCCCUCUCCAAGGGCUGGGGCUCCACUCUUUGUCAGGCCCCCUGGAUCACAGCAGUGUCUGCUGGGGGCACUAAGCAGGGAGCCAGCAAGGGGUGCCUUCUCUGGAGGCACAGUCCACCAGCAGCCCUGGGCUUGGCAAGUCCUGAAUUCUAUGCUCUUUGGCUGGCUGGAGGGCUGCUAGACCAGGAUUCAUACUGAGCUGAGUGCGCACGAUGAGGGGGAGUCAGAGUAGGUGGGCCUGGCACCUCCAUCAACCAGAGAGGCUCUGCUUUAAUCCACUUUACAUACUGGGCAUCUGCCUGAGAUUUCAUUGGGAGAAACAAAACAAAAACCAGAGUCCAGUGCAAUUACAAACAAAAAGAGCAAACAAUCUUGGAAGCCCCCAUCCAUCUAACCCCGUGUUUCUCGAACUUGAGCAUGGCUCAGAUCUCCUGGAGGGCUAGAUAAAACACAGAUGGCUGGGCCCCUCCCCAGAGUUGCUGAGUCAGUAUGUCCGGGUGGGGCUGAUAUUCUGUAUUUCUAACAAGCUCCCAGGGGUCCCCAGUGUUGUUGUUCUGGGGAUACACUGUAAGAACCACUGAUCCAGCCCAAAUUUUCCCUUCAAAGCCAGGAGAGGAGACUCCUUCAAGGUACCUUGGCAAGUUAGAGACAAGAUAGAAUAGAGGCCCACUCUCUGAUGGCCCCUCCUCCUACCACCCACCCAACCCCACCUGGUCCAGGGCUUGUCCAUCACACCCUGCACCUGCUCCAGCACAACAGGACCCUGGACAGAGAAGGCCACUCAGACCUGGGCUCUGGGGUGACUUUAUCCCUGGGUCAGUGAUUAAAGGGGAGCAAUUCUAACCCAGAGCCCGUGCUCAGCCAGCCUGUGUGCCCCGUAUGGGGAAGUUGCAUCAGACCCUCAGGCCAUCAGGAUGCUUGCUUCUCCAGACUUCACUUCUGCAUGGCUUUAUUUAUCAUCGAGCCUUCUACGAUCUCCUUUCUUUAUUCUUUCACCCAACACAUCCUUAUUGAGAUCUUCUAGGUGCUGGGUGCUGUCCCAGAUCCUGAGAUAAAGAGAACUCUGAGACUCAGGUCCUUCCCUGCCCUCCAGGACUUCACAAUCAGGGAGGAAAAUGAACCUGAUCAAGUCACUGCCUUGUGAAAGGAAAAGAGGAAUGGGGAGGGUUUCAUCUGGCAGGCAGGAAGACGUUAACAGAUGAGAGGCAUGGGGUGGGGAGGACACCUUCAGUGUAAGGAUUAAAUAAAGAGAAGCAUUAAUGGAGUAUGCACUGUCCAUCAGUGGCUUUCCAUACUUGUUUUAUCCUCACAACCAUCCCUGUAGGAGGUAUCGUUAUUAAAUCCUCGUUUACAGGUGAGAAAACUAAAGCUCAGAGAGGUUAUGCAACUCACCUGAGGCCACACAGCUACUGAAACUCAGGUUUUCUGACCCCAGAAGCCCAUCUCUUAACUACAACACCAUCUUAUCACUCUUAGCACGGGACGGACAGCUAGUGCCUGUCUGGAGGGUAGGGAGGAGGAGGUUGACUGAAGCUCUGGAGAGGUGUGGGGGAGUUGUUGGAAUGUAGAGGGAAAGACAGGUUGGGGCUUUGUUUGUUGAGGAGCUAGACUGCCAGGAUGAGUCAUUUGAGCCUAACUCAGGAGGCUGCAGGGGCCACUGAAGGGUUUUGAGCAGGAGAGGGAUGCACGGCACGACAGUGUUUUAAGGGAAGUCCUCGGGCAGCAGUGGGCAGAUUAGGUUGGAAAGGGAGACACUGGUGACCAGAAGACCACACUGGAGGCUACUGAAGAGGUUCAGAAGCUAGAAAAUGAGGGCCUGGCUUCGGCAGGUGGCAGGCACGGAGGGAGACGCAAGCGCAGAUGGUCUCUUAUCAUUGUUAUUGCAAACAUUUUUUGACCACUGAUCACGUGCCUUGCUAUAGUAACUCAUUUAAUCCUGACAGUAGCUUCUACAUCAGAUCCCUCUCCUUUGGACAUUUCUUGCCCCUCCUUUGUCUCUACUGAUGGGUCCCCAUGCCUGGCAGUUUUUCCGUUUGGGGAUCAAGACCUGCAGCUUCUUCUUUGAACAUAGGAAUCACAGACUGAGACAACUCAGGAUCCAGAAAUCAUGAUCAAUCUCAGAACAAUUUCUUCUAUUAUAUAGCUGAGGAAGCUGAGGUCUGGAGAGGAUCUUUAACUUGUCCCAUCGAGGAAGCCACAGAGCCUGGUCCAGAGGUGGGAAGUCUCUCUCCUACCUACUCCAGGCUCUGGCUUCCUACACCAUCUCCCUGCUUCCCAGGGCCAGGCUGGAGGCCCUGCAGCUGUGGUGGUGCCAGAUGGCAUCUCAGUCACCAGGCUGGAGGGCGCCUGAGGACCCUGCGGUCAGCGCCAGGCUGGCAGCCCUUCACCCACACUGGCACUGCGGGCACAGGGCGGAGGCACUGAGUGAAGGGAGCACAUGCAGGGAGAAGACAAGAAUGUGGGUGACUCACACCCUUUGCAGUGUUGUCACAGCUGUUCAGGGAGCAUCCCAGCCUGGAUGAGGCAGCUGCCAUCUUCACUUUGUCAGAGAGUCACUCUUGGCCCAGGCAGCCACCACUCUAAGAGGAGAGGAGAUGGAGGUAGGCUAUAAAUGGGCAGCACUGUCCAGAAGAGAUGGUGCCUUCCAGUGAGUUAGAAAACUUCAGCUCCACUCCCAGCUCUGCUCUUGCUCUUUCCAGUGGUGUGACUUUGGGCAUGUUGCCACCUGACGUUGAUGAGCCUCAUUCUUCUUAUCUGUUCAUGGGUACAAUAGUCUUUGCUUGCCCUAUCUUGGAGAUGUGGAGAGUGGCCAGUAGGCUAAUGCAUGGAAAAAGAAGGCUUUUGCAAACCUAGAAGUUUCCACGCAUGUGUUUUGGUCUGUUCAGGCUGCUAUGACAAAAUAUCACAGAUUGGGUGGCUUGUAAGGAACAGAAAUUUGUUUCUUACAUUUCUGGCAGCUGGGAAGUCCAAGAUGAAAGCACCAGCAUGGCAGUAUUCUGGGCAGGGCCCAUGUCCUGGUUCACAGCUGUCGUCUUGUGUCUGUGUCUUCACAUGGUGGAAGGGCAGUGGCUCUGUGUGGAACCUUGUUUAUAAGGAUGCUAAUCCCAUUCACGAGAGCUUCUCCCUCAUGACCUAAUCACCUCCCAGAGGCCCAGCUCCUAAUACCAUCACCUGGGGAGCUAGGAUUUCAACAUGUGAAUUUUCAUUCUGUAUCAUUGUUAAUGCGUACAAUAUCAUUAAACCUUCUCAAAGGAAACGUGGUAAAAUGUAAACAUAUCUCUGUAAGGGGUAUACUUGAACCCUCCACACUGUUUUGCAAUCCUUCUGUAUGUUUGAAAUUACUUCAAAAUAAAAUGUUAAAAAAAGUUACCUUCUCUUUCAUUCAGCCAGGCUCACCAUGAGACAGGCAUACUUCAGUGAACAAGAAAGAUCUCUGCCCUUGGAGCUUACGUGCUAGCAGGCAGAGAGGAACAUUAAUCCACACAAGAAAUACGAAACGCGUCUGUUAAUACAACCUAAUACAGAAAGUGUUCAGACUUAGGGGGAAAAAGUAGAACAGCAUAAGGGGGAGCAGAAGUCCCAGGUUUGGGGUGAUGGCGAGGGA